AUAGGUUACACUCUUGAGUGUUGUUCUGGUUUUGAAAAAUUGGGAACCUAGAGAGGCUAGACUUGUGCAAUGUAAUUGCUAAUUUGUUCUCUGAGAAGUUUCAGCGGAGGCUUGCUGAGCAGUUCCAGAAGUAGAUGUCUGGUGCUGAGGCUGGCGCCAGCAUUGGUGCUGCCCAGGAUGAUGACGAUGACGUUGUAGAGCUCGUCCCUGGAAAGACAUUCAAGAAGCUGCGGAGAAGAUAGAACCUGAAGUGAAGGAACCAGAGAUGCAGAAUAAGAAAGAUUGUCGUAAUUCAUUAUUGUGAAGGGUUGCUUGUUAGUUUUGGUUUGACUGGCAUCUACCGUGCCAUAGACAAACUCUUGUGAGAACUCUGGCCUACCUUUCAUUUCUAGCCCUCUGGUUGAAGCAGUAAAGUUCUUUUAUGUUGACUUGCAUCAUUAUUGGUUUGAGUUUUCUAAAAAGUAUAUUCAUGAAUCAGUUUCACAAUUCUAUUGAACCAUGUAAGCUAUGAACUAUAUACAUUAUCUGAGACAAUGUUUAGAUGAAGAGAAUAACCAAAAUAUUGUGUAUACCAUCACCAAGUAACAAGAGAAGAUAGACCAACAUUGAUUGUUACUAGUCAAUGUACAGAGCUAUAUAGCGAUAUACUUCUUCUGGUUGUUUUUUAUUAAAAUUUAGUUGUUUGACACCCAUCUCCCCCAACUAACUUUCAGUGACCAGGUGCCUAUCCAUGGCGGCAACGACAUCGUGAAUGAUUUGGAAAAUGUAGUAGCAUGGUGGACAAAGGUCACAAACAGAUCUUGGCUUCAAAGUUACAUUCAAAUAUGUCACUUUCUUUGCAUUCAAGAGGAUUUGGAGCCUCGGUUUGUUGGUGAAGUAACAUUUGAAAGGAGAUAUUAAAUUGUUGUUUGUGAUAGCAAGUGACUUGCCUAUAGCAGAGGACUUUGAGCAUGUCACUGAUUUGCAAAUAUUGAAGGAUCCACCUAUCCCCAUGGGAAUGGCCUGAAGAGCGGUAUCCCCAUGUCCUGAAGAGAAUUGUCCUUUUAUUUAGCAAAUGCUUUCUCUGCUAGAUUUGUUACUCCUUUCAAGUAUCCUAGGAUAUAGCAAAAUAAGUUACAGGAAACACAAAAGAGGGGAGCUAAAGCUACCCAUUUCCCCAUAAGUGAUAAUGAAUUCUCUUUAGUUGCUUUGGUAUGAAAUGAUACUGAAGGCAGCUUCAAGAAAAUAUCACGUUGUCCAGUUAUCGUGCGGAAAUAUUAACCAGGGAUUUUGACUUGUAGAUUUUCAAACUGGAGGAUGUUCUCCAAUGAUAUUUAGAAGGAAGGCUUUGAUGUCAAGUACUAGAAGGACACAAGGAUCUUGGUUGAAGGCUGUGAGGAUGUGUAUUUAGUUGCCCACUAUAAGGAGCCAAGGCAGAUGAUGUGCUUCUUAAGACAAAUUCUAGAAAAUAAUGUGAGGAAUUUUUGCUCUUAGGCAAUGAACAAUAAUGUUUACUCUGCUUAAUUAGUUUCAUUAGUUUAUAGGAAACUUGGAUGGUCAUUAGUUACUAACAGAUGAUGUAUUUAUAUGUGAAAAUUAAUGAAAUGUAUGUUGUUAUUGUU